GGAAACGCUUUGUCAGGCAAGCCGACGGCCGGCUGCUGGCCUCCGUGACGCGGCCUCCUCCGCGCCUCGCGCCAUGGCGUCGGAGGGGCCGCGGGAGCCCGAAAGCGAGGUAAGGGCCGACGGGGGCUCUCUCGGCAGCCUCAGUCCGUCCGCCUGCCUCGCACUGGGGGCUCGGCCGGGCGGUGACGGGGCUGGUCCAGCGGGCGUGGGUCGGAUGCUGGUGACGGCACGGGAGCGCCCUACCGGGUGGCCGCGAUCUUCGCGCCCCGCCUCGGGUCCGCCUUGGGGUGGCGGUCAGCGGCUACAGACCCCGCCCACAGUUAGCGCCGCGUCUGUGGUGCGAUGUCACCCAGCGCAGUGACUGCGGCCCAGCUCCGCGCUCCCCGCAGUCGGGGCGGGGGGACUCUGGCGAGCUUCCCGCGCUCUUGGGAACGGAUAGAUUGUUUUAAAGGAUCCUGCGUUUUUCUGAACGUCAUUCUCCGCUCUACGUACUCAGCAUUACCACUAGAUGGAGCCCUGGCGAUCGCGUGCAUCAUUUUUAGACCCAUAAAAUUCUCGGUGAAAGGCAUCAAGUUAUCAGCAGAUGUCAAACCAUUUGUCCCCAGAUUUGCCGGGCUCAAUGUGGCAUGGUUAGAGUCCUCAGAAGCAUGUGUCUUCCCCAGCUCUGCAGCCACAUACUAUCCGUUUGUUCAGGAACCACCAGUGACAGAGCAGAAAAUAUAUACUGAAGACAUGGCCUUUGGAGCUUCAACUUUUCCACCUCAGUAUUUAUCUUCUGAGAUAACUCUUCAUCCAUAUGCCUAUUCUCCUUAUACCCUUGACUCCACACAGAAUGUUUACUCAGUGCCUGGCUCCCAGUAUCUUUAUAACCAACCCAGUUGUUACCGAGGUUUUCAAACAGUGAAGCAUCGAAAUGAGAACACAUGCCCUCUCACACAAGAAAUGAAAGCUCUGUUUAAGAAGAAAACCUAUGAUGAGAAAAAAACGUAUGAUCAGCAAAAGUUUGACAGUGAAAGGGCUGAUGGAACUAUAUCAUCUGAGAUAAAAUCAGCUAGAGGUUCACAUCAUUUGUCCAUUUACGCUGAGAAUAGUUUGAAAUCAGAUGGUUACCAUAAGCGAACAGACAGGAAAUCCAGAAUCAUUGCAAAAAAUAUAUCUACCUCCAAACCUGAGUUUGAAUUUACCACACUGGACUUUCCUGAACUGCAAGGUGCAGAGAACAGUAUGUCAGAGAUACAGAAGCAACCCAAGUGGGGACCUGUCCACUCUGUCUCUACCGACAUUUCUCUUCUAAGAGAAGUAGUAAAACCAGCUGCAGUGUUAUCAAAGGGUGAAAUAGUGGUGAAAAAUAACCCAAAUGAAUCUGUAACUGCUAAUGCCGCUACCAAUUCUCCUUCAUGUACAAGAGAGUUAUCUUGGACACCAAUGGGUUAUGUUGUUCGACAGACAUUAUCUACAGAACUGUCAGCAGCCCCUAAAAAUGUUACUUCUAUGAUAAACUUAAAGACCAUUGCUUCAUCAGCAGAUCCUAAAAAUGUUAGUAUACCAUCUUCUGAAGCUUUAUCUUCGGAUCCUUCCUACAACAAAGAAAAACACAUUAUUCAUCCUACCCAAAAGUCUAAAGCAUCACAAGGUAGUGACCUUGAACAAAAUGAAGCCUCAAGAAAGAAUAAGAAAAAGAAAGAAAAAUCUACAUCAAAAUAUGAAGUCCUGACAGUUCAAGAGCCUCCAAGGAUUGAAGAUGCCGAAGAAUUUCCCAACCUGGCAGUUGCAUCUGAAAGAAGAGACAGAAUAGAGACACCGAAAUUUCAAUCUAAGCAGCAGCCACAGGAUAAUUUUAAAAAUAAUGUAAAGAAGAGCCAGCUUCCAGUGCAGUUGGAUUUGGGGGGCAUGCUGACAGCCCUGGAGAAGAAGCAGCACUCUCAGCAUGCAAAGCAGUCCUCCAAACCAGUGGUAGUCUCAGUUGGAGCAGUGCCAGUCCUUUCCAAAGAAUGUGCAUCAGGGGAGAGAGGCCGCCGCGUGAGUCAAAUGAAGACCCCGCACAAUCCCUUGGACUCCAGCGCCCCACUGAUGAAGAAAGGGAAGCAGAGGGAGAUCCCCAAGGCCAAGAAGCCAACCUCACUGAAGAAGAUUAUUUUGAAAGAACGGCAAGAGAGAAAGCAGCAGCGUCUCCAAGAAAAUGCUGUGAGUCCAGCUUUUACCAGUGAUGACACACAAGAUGGAGAGAGUGGUGGUGACGACCAGUUUCCCGAGCAGGCAGAGCUGUCAGGGCCAGAGGGGAUGGACGAACUGAUCUCCACUCCUUCGGUUGAGGACAAGUCUGAAGAGCCACCAGGCACAGAGCUCCAGAGGGACACAGAGGCCUCCCACCUUGUUCCCAAUCACACCACCUUCCCUAAGAUCCACAGCCGCAGAUUCAGGGAUUACUGCAGCCAGAUGCUUAGUAAAGAAGUGGAUGCUUGUGUUACCGACCUACUCAAAGAACUGGUCCGUUUCCAAGACCGUAUGUACCAGAAAGAUCCAGUCAAGGCCAAGACUAAACGUCGACUUGUGUUGGGGUUGAGGGAAGUUCUCAAACACCUGAAGCUCAAAAAACUGAAAUGUGUCAUUAUUUCUCCCAACUGUGAGAAGAUACAGUCAAAAGGUGGGCUGGAUGACACUUUGCACACAAUUAUUGAUUAUGCCUGUGAGCAGAACAUUCCCUUUGUGUUUGCUCUCAACCGCAAAGCUCUGGGGCGCAGUUUGAAUAAGGCAGUUCCUGUCAGUGUGGUGGGGAUCUUCAGCUAUGAUGGGGCCCAGGAUCAGUUCCACAAGAUGGUUGAGCUGACAAUGGCGGCCCGACAGGCGUACAAGACCAUGCUGGAGAAUGUGCAGCAGGAGCUGGUGGGAGAGCCCAGGCCUCAGGCACCUCCCAGCCUACCCACACAGGGCCCCAGCUGCCCUGCAGAAGAUGGCCCCCCAGCCCUGACAGAAAAAGAAGAGCCACACUACAUUGAAAUCUGGAAAAAACAUCUGGAAGCAUACAGUGGAUGUACCCUGGAGCUAGAAGAAUCCUUGGAGGCUUCAACCUCUCAAAUGAUGAAUUUGAAUUUAUGAGAGUUCUUGCCUGUGUGUCUGUAUUUUGGGGCAGUCAGCGGGGCCAGCAGGAAAGGAGAGGUCUUUCCUGCUUCCUCCUCCCCUCAUCACAGAGCAAAGAAAGACUCAGAAAUUCAUCCUCAUAACUCCAUUUCCCAGUAGAACACUCCACAUUACGAAAACUUCAAGUAUGUAAUUAUUUUGUUAAGCGUGAAAGUGCUUGAAAUCCAGACUUCAGGAGAAGACAGAAAACAGCACCAAGAAUAUAAGCCUAAAGCCCAUAGCAUUUCACUCAGCAGUUUGUAGUGGUUGAAGCCACACCCAAAGCAAGAACCACAGUGAGCUGAUGGAUAUUUUACAGGAAAACUUCAGGUUAUGAGUAUGUGAUGGUUCCGUGAGCAAGACUGGCAUCCUUGGCUGGAUGGGCAAGCACACACCUCACAGGCAGCUGGGCCUCUCGACUUGGGGUGCGGAGGGGGAACGUGUGGAGACAACCAGGGUGUCUCCAGCAUCUUCAGGACACCUGUUGUGAUGGAUCCUGAAGGAAUUAGCAGGCGAUGUAUGCUGAUCCCACACAAAGGCUGGUAGAGAAUUUGUCCAGCUCCAGAAAGAGGGGAUGCAAAACAGGUCAUUGUCACACUGCUGGGAAGACACUCAGUAUUUGCUAGGAUCACCAGAGGGGUGCGGCUUGACUUUUAACAGAGGCUUUGGUUUUAUGAUAGAUAUGAAAACUGUCAUUCAACAGACAAGAAGAGACGUGUGUAUAAGAUUAAAGGCUGAGCAGCUUUAGGACAAGUUCACACACACAGUGACACAAGUCUUCAGAGAUACAGCUUUAAUAAUUAGAGACUUGAAAGCAGGUAGAACAAAACACUCAUGAGACUCAUUCCAUUGUCAAGAAAUUUAAUAUGGCACCAGGAGAUUUGCAUAAUUGACCUAUUUGGCUUUCUGCAUCAAGUUUGGUGUCCUGUUGCAGAAGCUGAGCAUUGACGGGACAGAGGCAUAAACUGCAGCGCUUGAUAAAAUAGAGCCCCGUAUUCUGAGGUUAGUGAAGAAAACACAAAGACUUGACAGAUGCACUCCUAGAUCGCAUCUCACAGUCAUUCAAGGUUUAGGGCAAGGGAUUUCCAUGUGGAGUCUCACCUUUUCUUGUCCCGGUCAUGCAUCUUGGAGUUCCUUGGCUAAGUCUGCAGGGAGGAGAAGCAGCAGGCUUGAUUUGCAUCAAUAAAAGCAGUGAUCUGUGCUGGCCAUGCUAACCCUGUUGGCUGUUAGGGGGUGGGGGCACUCUGUAAAGGGGAGUCACUGGGACGGUGUAGGAUCAGCCUUCAGAGCCUGCUGCCUGACCGUAGAGGAGGAACCUGCACACACCCUGCUGUUUUAGUUCACGAACAGCUAUCGAAGCCUGUUAGCCAUCCUGGUUACCUGCUUGUGCCAGACAGAACUUACUGUCCCAGACAGUGAAGUGAGUUCUAUAAAAGCCCGGUCUCCUCCCUCAUGUGACCUGCACCAAGAACCACCCAGGGGACUGGAGUCACUGAGUCACAGGAGCCUCUGGAAGGUUCUCAUGACUAAGAAUCUGGGUGGCCUAAGCUGGAUUGGAUUAAUCACCCAACGCCCCAUCAUGGGACCACUGACUGCAAAACCCUCAAAGCUCUACACUCGGGGUGUGAGCAGAAACAGACACAUGCUUACCACCGCUAACAGGCAUCAGUAAAUACUAUUUAAAUACGUGCUUGAUCAUCAUAAGACAUUAAAGAUGUUAAAGAAGUA